AACAACUGCCAACUUUGGAUGAUGCGGCUGUUUGAUAGAAGGUCCCACCGAAAGCAGCCAAACCUGUAGCCAAUUAGCAACUAAGGACUAAGUAAAAAGGUUUUUGUAUUAAAAACUAGAUAUGAGGUGAGCUGAAUAAUUUCUUUAGUUCGAUUUCUAAGUUAAACUCUUUCAAACAUAACUAGCACAUGUACUUUCCCAUUGUAAUACAGACAGUGGCAGACAUACAAACAGUGGCAGGCUAUACAACAAAAAGCAGAGCAUUGCAAGGAUGCAGAUACAGAGUACCACUAUGACAACAAGGCAACAAUAGACAACUUGACAAAAAGCUUGACAAAAAUCAGUCUUGCUGUUGAGGUCGUGUGGAUUACUCUUAAAUGAGAGCACCAAUAGUAAGGAUGGACAACAUUCCUAACAUGGAAUUGAGG